GGACUGCGUUGCGUGGGGGGACUCUGCUAUAGCCAGCGAUGCGUUAGGGUCAGUGACACACGAUCGGUAAUCCACCCGGCCCGUCUUGAAACACGGACCAAGAAGUCCAACAUGUGCGCGAGUCAUUGGGUCCUACNAAACCUAAAGGCGUAAUGAAGGUGAAGGCAGGUUCGGCCUGCUGAGGUGAGAUCCCCGUCCUCGGGCGGGGCGCAUCACCGGCCCGUCUGUAAAGGCGGAGCAAGAGCGCACACGUUGGGACCCGAAAGAUGGUGAACUAUGCCUGAGCAGGAUGAANCCANAGGAAACUCUGGUGGAAGUCCGUAGCGAUUCUGACGUGCAAAUCGAUCGUCGAACUUGGGUAUAGGGGCGAAAGACUAAUCGAACCAUCUAGUAGCUGGUUCCCUCCGAAGUUUCCCUCAGGAUAGCUGGCGCUCGUCCUAACAGUUUUAUCCGGUAAAGCGAAUGAUUAGAGGCCUUGGGGACGAAACGUCCUCAACCUAUUCUCAAACUUUAAAUGGGUAAGGAGUCGGACUCGCUUGAUUGGAGUCCGGACUGGAAUGUGAGUGCCAAGUGGGCCACUUUUGGUAAGCAGAACUGGCGCUGUGGGAUGAACCNAACGUCCGGUUAAGGUGCCUAACACUGACGCUCAUGAGAUACCAUAAAAGGUGUUGGUUGAUAUAGACAGCAGGACGGUGGCCAUGGAAGUCGGANUCCGCUAAGGAGUGUGUAACAACUCACCUGCCGAAUCAACCAGC
rnacentral:rRNA from 1 species